rnacentral:RNase_P_RNA from 2 species
AUUUUUAGAUAAUCGCGGUCUACUAGAUGUAGGCUGAGGAAAGUCCAUGCUCGCACAAGCUGCGAUGCUUGUAGUGUUCGUGUCUGGCGAAACCAUAAGCCAGAGUACAGCAAUGUAACGGCAGGAAAAAAAGCUAAGGCAUUUGCUAUGCUUGAGUACCCUUGAAAGUGCCACAGUGACGAAGCGAUCGGAGAAAUCUUAUCGGUGGAACGCGGUAAACCCCUCGAGCGAGCAACCCAAACAAUGGUCGGGGCGCUUUUUGGAACGGAAAGAUAAAGAACGGAACCAAAGAGGCAAGAAAUUGCAGAUAGAUGAUUAUCCAAGUUGAGUUGCUCCCUGUAACUUGACUGGACAAAACAUGGCUUAUAGAA